rnacentral:rRNA from 1 species
AGAGUUUGAUCCUGGCUCAGAUUGAACGCUGGCGGCAUGCUUUACACAUGCAAGUCGAACGGUAACAGGCCGCAAGGUGCUGACGAGUGGCGAACGGGUGAGUAAUGCAUCGGAACGUGCCCAGUCGUGGGGGAUAACGCAGCGAAAGCUGUGCUAAUACCGCAUACGAUCUAUGGAUGAAAGCGGGGGACCGUAAGGCCUCGCGCGAUUGGAGCGGCCGAUGUCAGAUUAGGUAGUUGGUGGGGUAAAGGCCUACCAAGCCAACGAUCUGUAGCUGGUCUGAGAGGACGACCAGCCACACUGGGACUGAGACACGGCCCAGACUCCUACGGGAGGCAGCAGUGGGGAAUUUUGGACAAUGGGCGCAAGCCUGAUCCAGCAAUGCCGCGUGCAGGAAGAAGGCCUUCGGGUUGUAAACUGCUUUUGUACGGAACGAAACGGUCUGGGUUAAUACCCUGGACUAAUGACGGUACCGUAAGAAUAAGCACCGGCUAACUACGUGCCAGCAGCCGCGGUAAUAC